UGCCUACUCCCACGAGACAAAAAUAGGAACCUGUUGGCUCUAGCUCAUCAUGCCAGAAGAAAUAGAACUUAGGUCUCUGGGAAGAAACAGUAGUGGUGAGGUUGUGCUAAAUGGACCCUACCACUGUUCUGAAAAUUCCAGAUGUCCAGACUGUGAAAAGUUUUCAUAUCUGGCAUACUCCUUUCUUAUAUUCUUGACAGUACUGCUAUUUUCAGUGUAUCUACUUUUUGUGUGUCCAUUUGAAAUAAAACAUUUGUAUGGUACUUGGCAGAGUGGAGACUCUAUAUUGGCUGGAGAAGUGGGGCCCAUAUUGAACAGAACUGUUACUUCAAAAUCUUGUUGGAGGGGGCCCAGAUGUGAAAUGUUUAUUCCAAACAUCCCUAUUAUCCUGCCAAAUGAUACAAUUUAUCCAAAUUUUACAAAUUACAAUGGAAGCUAUGCUGAUUAUAGGACUACUCUUCAAGAAAUAAUUCAUACCAUCUUAUAUGAUCAAUGUAACGUCACUGUUUUGUUGCACACAUCCUUUGGGAAGACAUAUGGUAUGGAUGAUGUAUUUUUUAAAACAGUCAUGUAUAAACUCAUCACUUCAUUUUUGAUGGAGGGAAGUACCAUGUGUGAUCUGAAGACGGCAGCCAGGGAUGUUUAUGUCUUACACUCACUAUCCCACCUCCAUGAUGUUGGAAAGGGCUGUAAACUAAGACUUGAUAACAUUUAUGAUGAAUCUUCAGGGAGCCACUACAGUCGAGAGUGUGUAAAGCAGUUUGAUUGUAUGUUGUGUAUUUACCCCAAGUCUAUAAGUGUUUCCUUUAAUUAAAAACUACCACCCACUAUAUUUAAAAUUUGUACAAAUAAAAUGUGGUACGUGUCAGAAAAUUACACUAUGACAGAAACAACUACCAUCUCUGGACAAACAUCAUCUGGAUUUUCAUUUCAUGUGCCUAUCAUGGUCAUAGUGUUGAUUUUGCUGAUUAUUGGACUGUUGCUGUAUGGAGCAUAUAAGUGCUUUUUCUGGGUUAUGUACAAGCGGGCACAGAUAAUGGGGUUGCCAGCCCAAGCACUCUUGUCACGUGUAAAGGUGUAAAAAUCAUUGUACAAACUUGACUAAAUAAAGAUUAUUUUAUUGAAAAAGAGAUGUAUGAUAUCUUGUUUGUUGUCAUCACGUAACAGGUCAUAACACACGCAAUUAGAACAUCAUCAGACAUUGUAUGUGUUUUGGAUUGGAAGGUUAUGGUUUUGUUCUUGUGGUAUAUACAUUUGGUAUUUUUUAUCUGUUCAAUCAGAUAGGAGAUUGGGUCACUAGACAGCAGGACAGUGUUAGAUACCACGGUUUGGCUGGCACAGAGCAAUCCCUGGUUCAAUGAAGAGAUAAAGUUUUGGAAGGCCAGUGUCUUGUCUCCACUCAACAUAUAAAUAGGCCAUUGCAUUCCAGUCUUGUCUCUGUAGGAGGCAAACAGGGUUGGUAGUUUAAUGUUGUGGGAAAUAAAAGUUGCUAUGGCUACAGCUGAGUCUUGAUUGCUAUUUCCCUCUAUUAUACACCUGAUUUCUUGAAUCCAGGGGUGUUGAAACAAUAUUCCCUCCAACAGAGCAGUGGCACAUGAGGCUAUGUUGUGAGCAGCAGUUCCAGUGAGGUUGUUCAGGAAGAAAUGUUCCAACCCUAAGAUAAUACACUUUUUAGUGUGUUUACAGUGACUCAUGGCAACUAUACCAGUUCCAGAGGCGUGGACGUUGUUUCCAUAGGCGGGGUCAAUAUACACAAAAAGUGUAUUUUCUGUAGUUGGGGCCCCCUGGCCCGCAGUGUCACACCUAUAAAAGUCUAGCCGGGUCAGACUGGACUCGUGUAUCAUACUGUUCCCAGAGACUUCCGUGUGUGAUUGCAUAUUGCCCAUUAAUUCUGUGGCAAAUGAUCCCUCUAGCAGUAAAUUGGUGGUACACUUUAUAUUAUCAUUGAUGGUGAUAAAUUCUGGAACAUACAGGCGAUAGCAAGGGCAGGCAGUGAUUGCGCUCUGUUUGUUGAAGUCUUCCAUAUGUUCGCUACAGACAUAGCUGACAACGUUCACCAUCUUCUCAUUGGCAUCUUUGAGGUUAUACAAAAAACUUGUUGUCUUCUCUCCUGAAUUUACAGAGGAGAUAAAAAAGAUCUUGGCAUCCUUCUGUAACAUAAACCCCAAGAUUGCUGGAAGUGCUUCCUUCUUUAUGAAAUUUGCUUCAUCAACAAACAGUAGAUUAAAUGUCUGCCCCCGGAUGCUCUGUGAAUAAAUCAAAGAAUCUGGUUACUGAUCAGGAUCUCCUGGAUGUGGUGAAUUUUUUUAACAGACCAUUACAUGCUCUCAUUGCUGAGGUGUCAAAAACCACUUCUGAUUUGGAACUUGUCAGGUCAACCACCCAAGGUAUUGAAAAUAUCUGUCUCCUGCUAGACUUGGUAGGAACAGAAUGUAUAAAAGAUGCAAGCGCGGCCAAGACAAGUGUAUGAUGCGGCCUCUUUCUAACCCUUUAACAGAGGCCUAUAACGUGCAAAAUUUGUACCAGUGUCUAAAUUGUGAUGAUUAUCACUUGUGUAAUGGUUCUCUCAACUGUGAUCCUCUGGUGGAUCGAGAGGGAAUUGUGUGCACAGUCACUGGAAAGUAUAUCCAGUGUAAUGUCAGGGAAUCACCCAUGUGUGGGGCAGCGUGUCUGGACGUGGACAUUCACCCAGAGGACAAUACAGACUGCAUUCUGCGGGCACUGUUUGGUGACAUUGUAGAUAUUAUUAAUAAAUUGGAUGAUAUUGCUGAAAUUAAAGAUAAGAUCCUCGCUGGAGACUCCCUAAAUGAGCACAUCAAGAAGAAAAUUGAGUGUACCUUUCCAAUGUGCGCCAACAUCAUUAAUUGUAAUAGCCAAGGCUAUUCCAUACUUUGUAGCAUGUUUGUCCAUAUUAUUAUGUCAAUCUAUGCCAACAAAACCAUAUAUGGCCACAUGCUAUUUAAAUGCACCAGAAAUAAAAAGUAUGACACCAUUGCCAAGAAAAUUAGAGAGAAAUGGAUGUAUUUAGAAUAAAUAAAAAAAGUGUUCCUUUACAACAAGAUGAGCUCCUGGUCGAUCUGUUUCUCCCAGAACAUUUAUUGGCAAUUUAUGGCAUACUACCCAACAGGAACUUUGUGUACACCUCCUCUGUGUGUGAUUAUCAAUCUGGUCACGUCCUGCCUUAUAGAAGAGUUUGGGGAAAAUUUAUGAAGGCAGGUGAGUCUGGAGGCCCAGUUGGAAGUCAGGGGCUGUGUGUCUCUAUUAUUGUGAGAGUUCAUCAGAAUCUUUCUUGCCUGGACAUGGCCCUGUUAAAAGUUUCAAACUGGGAUGAGGGCUUCUUUAGAAUAAUUAAAUUUUCUCUGCUUAAUCUCCUUAGAAUGUUCUAUAUCACCUCAGUCCCACCCGUCACCAGGCUCAAAAAAACCGCCUUUGAGGAGCUCUGCAACCAAGUGUCCAGUGAUAAGCCCCCUGCCCACGCAGCUGCGUCUUUUCUCCUGUCUUUGUUGCCCAACACCGUCUGUGAGACUACCAAAACACACUGUGCGCUGGAGAACCCUGGCUACAUCAGAGGCUCAAACCCACCCACGUGUCAAACACAGCCAGCCACGGAGACACUGCCCUGUAAGAACAGGAGGACAGAAAGGCAGCCCAGGACAGAGUACAGUUGGAAAUUGCUCCACCAUGUUGAGAAUGGUGCUCCCUACUAUGUUGAAGAUACCCAUAACCCCAUAGAGGCACAACAUAUUCAUCAGAAGCUAUUAACAGUCAUGACUGGAGACCCCCCCGCCAAAGCCCCAACUGACAUAUUUUUAAUGGAUACUGACUUCCUCCACGCUGUUCAAAAUAGAUUCAUCGACUCAAUUGAUCUCCCUGGUGUCAAAGAUGGUGGUUUGAAUAUUUUUCAGAAGUUUUCCAUCUUCAUCACUUAUGAUGAGACCACUAAACAUUUAUAUGAAAUUUUCCUAGACUCUCUAAUCACCCUCAGAAGCAAAAGCUCCAAAUAUCCUGCUUGGCUUAUGGCAUACUAUCACGGGCCUUCCUUUCAGGGGGUGUGGUUAGAUAUUGUAAAUGCCACUGCAACUGGAGAGGUAUUCAAGGGGGAUUCCAUAUAUUUAGGUAAAUGUCACGAGGGACUUUCUCCCACAUCAAUAGAUAAGCUAUUGAAAGGGCGUGGGAUAUUUUACAAUAAUUUGGUUCUUCUUUUGGUUCACUCAGAUCUGACUGCUUGGCUACUUCUUCCUGGAGGAUUUGUUAUUAAAGGAACAUACAUUCUGGGAAUUCAAGAAAAGGCCUUUGUUGGCAGAUAUUAUGGCAACCAAAGAAGAUAUAAUUCAGACAUUUCUGAAUAAAGAGUGUAUAUGGAUUGUAAAUAAAGCUUCAUGUUGCAGAAAGAAGGUCUUUACAUGCACCACGUCCAUUUCACCAAGCCUGAAACACCACUUUGGUGUGCCAGACGAUGGGGCAUGGUGCCUAAACGUCACUGUGUUGAUUCUGAAGCCUAAACAAUCUCCAUUUUCUGUUACAGUGUUUAUAAAUGGGAAACCCAUACUCUGCUCCAAUUCACAGUUAAUUUCUAUCCAGAAGGUAUCUGGCAGAGAGCAUAUGGCUGUGAUAUAUUUUGGAAAAUUUACAGGGAAGUCAGCCAUUCCAGUACCUAUGGAUCCUACAAUUCUAGAUCCUGGUUCUGACAGCCCACACAUUUUGUGUUCAGAUGUAAUGGAGUCCUCCACGUUGGUUGACCUGCCAGUUGUUGGUUCAAGUAAGCAAGUAGGAUAUACUGCCUGGCUUGCGAAUAACAGUAUCUAUGAAUACAUGUUGAGUACAGAACAUCAGAUGAUGUGUCCGUCCCUACCAGUGUUUCCCUCCCUGUCUAAGAUCCUCAAUAUUAUGACGUCCUGCACAAGUCCAACCUGUAAAAAAUGUGCAGGAUAUCGGAGGCACUGUAAGGUCUGCAGUGGUUAUACUGAUGCUACUGGAGAUGGGUAUUCGCCUUCAUGUCCCUGCACAACAUCAUGCGCUCUCAAACCAGGUGACAUCAUCCCCAUAACUGGACACCAUACUUUGCUGCCAUUGUUGUUUGAUCCUGUCAAUGCCCACAGUGUCACACGGCUCAGAAUCACCCCUACCAGUUCACCUCAGCCCUUGGAUCAAAUUAUUACUGGUAUCACCGAGUCAGGGGAGAGUGUUCCAAUUACCCUGGAGGCGUGGAAACUCGUGAGGCUAUCUGACCUUUACUCCCAUCUCUAUAUUAUAUCAUGUAAGGCACUUAAAUCACACUUACAUUCUUGUUGAAGCAUGUGGCACACAUCAAGGUGCUGGAUUUUUUCCCAGGAUGUGAGUACAGGAUCACCCCAUUUUCCUUUUUAAUGUCAAUAUUCUUUCUUGGGAACCAGGCCAGCAGAAUGUUUGAGAUUUCCAGGAAAACUGCCAAGGACACAUGUUUUUGGUGGGCUACGUAGCCAAUAUGUAAAUCAUCCACUGAUGUCAGAAGCAUGCUUAUGAUUGCUGUCACAAUCCAGGUUUUGCCAUGGCGCCGGGGAAUCAAAAAGGCUGGUGAUUUUUGCAAAAAUGUUAACAAGUCUGUGUUGUCAAAAUAUAACAUGUCUAAUAAAAAUUUGAAUUCAUCAAAA
rnacentral:tmRNA from 1 species